UCUGCCCUCAGCCUCCUGUUCUCCUGACAAAGCUACCUGUGGCCAUUUGAGCUGAUUUCUAGCUCAGAUAUAAAAAUAUUCAGAACAGUGAAACUUAGAAGUAGAAGCUCUGAGGGGAGAGGUGAACAUUCUAGGGAUUGGCCAUAGAAUGGCAACAGUGGAUAAGUUAAUAUCAUUUCACUGGAGCAUCAAGAGCUUUGUGUCUGGAAGCACAGCUUGGACCUGCCCUUUGCUGCUUCUGCCGCUUCAGCUGUGCCCACUGCUGUCUUCCCCCGCUGCUGGUUUGGCUGCUGCUGCUUUUGCUCCUUCGCUGCCACUUGACCCCUUCCCCUUCUUCCUUAAGGUUAUUACAUUUCUCUAGGAAUUUAGUCUCUUAAGCAAUACAAUGUCCCCCUGUCCUUCCAGAAAAAACCCUCCAUGCUGUGGUGAGUUUAUUCUACUGGGGGAGGGAUCCACCCUAACCCAGGUCAUUAAUUUUGGUGCUUUUCCAAACGUGAGACUCCAUCUUGGUUUGGUUUUUCUUUUUGAUUGAUAAUCAGGAUAAGGAAGUAGGGGGAAAAUUAAUUUGUUUGGUAUAUUCUGGUCCAUUAUUGCUUCGAUUUUGAUCUUAUCAGUUCAGCAGUGCUUUACCACCAUAGUGCAGUAUUAUGUGUGCUCCUUUUUUGCUCAGAUGGUUUGGAACUGGGUAAAAGCUGUGUUAAGGAAGGUUGGGAAUUUUAUGGUGGAUGUUUUAGGGUUUAGGAAUGUCACUGAAGGUGUGCUGUAUGUUACACUUGUAAUAGGUAAUUGUAAUUGUUUAAUAAAGAAACAUUUUAAUAGAGUGUUAAGUAUGCCUAGCUGCAAACGGCAGUGUAGGUACAGCUGUUGUAAAUCAGGAAAUAUGCCUAACUGCAGAGGUCAUGGUAUAUAUGGUAAUGUGCAAAGAAUAAGCUAGCUAAUUGCUAAAAAAUUCAAGGACUAAGCUUUAGGCACAUCCUUAAUUUUGAGAGAACAUGCCACAUAUGGGAUUUGGGAUGUUAACCAGCCAAAGGAAGUCCAUAUUUGGAGACGGGUUAACCAGAGGACACCUGAGGAGGACUGCUUACUUCAUCCUCAAUGACCACCAGAAGGGAAGGAAGACCCUAACCCAAAAGAAGGAACAUGCACAGAAAGGAUGGGUUUAUGUAAUUUGCAGGGCGGAACAACGCAGACAACAUAGUAUAAAUAUAGGCUAAUUAAGAGACUUGUCACGGCAGUUGGCGGAGCGGUGACUCCCCUGUCGUCCAGCGCUGUAACUUUGCUCAUAUUCUACUUGCCUAAUUGAAUAAAUUUGUAACCUGGACACUUUGA